UCCCUGGUGGCUCAGAUGGUAAAGCAUCUGCCCCCAAUGCAGGAGACCCAGGUUUGAUCCCUGGGUUGGGAA
rnacentral:tRNA from 1 species